rnacentral:lncRNA from 1 species
CUGGCGGUUAUUUCAUCUGUUCUUGGCUGAGUCCCCUGGAUCAGAGGUUCCAGAGCAGUCGUACCCGAGGUGGCGGGAGAGAAAGCGUGAUCCCCCUGCACAAAGGAGGGUCUCAGGUGCGUCAGGGCUGGGUUCGACGGAGCUCGGGUCUCCGCCCUUGUCCACCGCCGCCGGUUUUGUUGGAGGCGGCUAUGCUGUCGGACUGACGCAGGGAUCGGUGCCCUUUGAGGGUGUGGCCAUGACUUUGACCUCGAGUUCCUGGCCAAGAAGAUCUAGCCCAAAGGACCCUAUACCAGGAGGUGAUGCUGCAGAGCUGGAAGACCUGCUUUGUUGGUCAUAAUGAGUGUUUUUCUGCAAUAAUGUGUUCCUCAUGAAGAGAAUCAACAAGACUAAAGAGAAUCUUCUGACGAUAAAUUGACUAACCUGAAAAUGAGUGAAAUCUACCCCAGAAGAUCCAGUGUCAGACACACAUCAUAAAUUGCAUAAAUUUCCUGUAGGCUGAAAAUGGGAGAAGUCAAUUUGAUAGUUUCCGUGUAUAAAACCAACCAGUCUUCAUAUAUAGGCUUUUCCUCAUGCUGACCUACAUCUUUGCAAUUACCUAAAUUUCAUUUGCAGGGAAUUACCAUUUUUCAGCUGUUUCUCCAGGUAGUCUUCAUUACAGAGAAUGCAGAUAAGGUUUUUGCUUGAAACCCCUGCAGGUGGAAACAACAUCAGCACUACAAUUCAAAUUAUUACGAGCUCUCUAUAGCACUGGGCUAAAGCAGGUGCAUAGAAACUAUUUCAUAAACCAUUCUGUCUUCACAAGACAAGUGUGACAAGAAUUAGAUAUGAUUUCAUCAUUUCAGUACAAUCUCUUCCUUAUGCAAAUAAGAAAUGGUCACGGGAGUUCCCGUCGUGGUGCAGUGGUUAACAAAUCCGACUAGGAUCCAUGAGGUUGUGGGUUCGAUCCCUGCCCUUGCUCAGUGGGUUAACUAUCCGACGUUGCCGUGAGCUGUGGUGUAGGUCGCAGACACAGCUUGGAUCCCGUGUUGCUGUGGCUCUGGCGGAGGCUGGUGGCUACAGCUCCGGUUCGACCCCUAGCCUGGGAACCUUCAUAUGCCGCGAGAGCGGCCCAAGAAAUGGCAAAAAGACAAAAAAAAAAA